GGUCACUGAGUCUGAGGAGCUCAGCUCCAUAUCUGCCAUGAUGGAGAAAGAGAAAAGAGCACAGUGGCCAAUCACUCACAGGAGGCGUUUGGUUUCUAGAGAAACCCCCCCAGGCGCCAGAGAUGCUGGAGCAACAGGGUUGCAGCUCUUCCCCCGCAGACCUCCAUCUCAUUAGUUCAGGAAAAAAAAGCUGCAGAUGCCACAAGAGGUUUUGGUUGAAGUUCAAGCCCUCUUCUCAAACCCCAGCACAGCGUCUGACAGUGUUUGAAAGGAAAGGGUUGGUCUAUCAAGAGAGUUCAGCUAUUUAGCUGAGCGUGAUCAGGGCUCUGUCACGUCGGUGAUGACAAUUCGGGCAGAGACAGAAGAUGUCCCUGACCCUGCCGCCUGCCUCGCACCUUCCUGAGGCUCUGCUGCCUGGGGGAACCGGGCACACACGUCAUCGUCCUAUGUCUCAUCCGCUCUGGAUGACGGUCUGAUAUCCAAGUGCCAACCCACAGGUCCCGCUGCUGCACCCUGAACUGCUUUGGAGCAGCCAACAGUCCGUCCAUCACAGCCCAGGCGUAUCCUGAGGCUCCGCUAAGGUGCUGAGCACUGCAGGACCCAAAUCUCCAUGGGGAACAAGCAAGAGCACCCACUUGCCAACUGCAUUCUCUGCUCAAGACCUCAGGAAGCCUUUAGUUUUGGUCAUCUAAGACCAGCACCAAGGUCUAAGACCAACACCAAGCAGCAGCAGAGACUGGGGACAGCACAAAGGAAUGUCACAAGCCUCGGUGCACAUUGCAGGCUGUCCCCCUGCCCAAGCUCCUGCCUGUAGGUUUAGCAGACUAGGACAUCUCGCCUACAGGCAGCUGGAGUUGGGGGAACCUGUCAAUGGGGUGAGACCCCCAGCCUCGGCUGCGUCCUCCCCACCGCCCCGGGACACCACGUCCUCCCGCAGGUCCUCACCCGUGUCCGGUCUUCGAUGCUGUAGAUCCGGAGCUGCAUAGGGAUGUUGAAGCUGUGUAAGAAGUUGCCUCCGAACACCAGCGUGUCCAUGGGAGUGUACACAGCAUGGAUCCAACCUUGGAGGGAAAGCAGAGUUUGAGGAGUCCUUCUGAGCAACGAGGGGAGGUCGAGGCUUCCAAACUGACAGUCCCUACUAAUUGGAUUCCUUCGCAACCUCUUAUGCAGCAGCGGGGGGUAAGAUGGGCUCACAGACUCUUUGAGGAGAGUGGACGUUUCUGUGUUACAGCAACAAUGUCCACCCCUCACGAACUGUCACUACUGAAUUACUCAGUACCCAGCUCCCUUGAUCCAUCUAAUAGCUAGAGAGAGUCCUGUCUGCACUUAAAUGCACCUGUGGAUCUGGCCUCACAUUCUGCCAUGGUAGAAAAAUGUGCCAGUAUCCUCUUCGUGCCCACAGUUUUUUGUCAUCCUGCUGUCUUUGGGAAGUUGCUUCAGGCCUAAGAACACCAGCAACAAGGAAGAGAGUCUCCUAAAGUCUGUUCAGCAAUUAAAAAAUGCUCAGAAUAACUCAAGUCCCAGCUCUCUUAUCUCCAAGGCUCAACAAAUCCAGCCAAGCCCAACAUUUUGGGAAUUCCAACAUGGGUUUCCCUAGGGCAAGGCCACUCAGUUCAAAAGUGUCAGUCAAGAUAACAAGACUCAGACGAGUAACUUGUGCAGGGCCUGGUCCCUCUGUCAGCUACACCACAGCUCAUUCCUGCCCUGCUGUUGGAGACGAAGCAGCAGGUUACAGCAGCUUCUGACAUCUGAGAGACUCUUACGGACACAAGUUUUACGCAGCAGUUUUAUGAGAAGCCUUCAAUGGGGUCCAACAACCUCUCUCCUUACAAGUGAGUGUUCUCCAGCGCAAGCACAUUUCACAGACAUCCCAGGUUCUAAAAGGCUGUGAGUCAGUCCUUGCAAACAACCAACCUGAGCCGCUGCUUUAUCUGCUCUGUCUCUUCUGCCUUUGCUGUUUUCUAGCGCAGCACUAACUGUGCACACAAGACAUUGCUGAUGCCCUCCAACUAUUCUGCUUGCAAACCCAAGCCAGACUGAAGACUUCUCUUCACUCUCGCGAGUUUUCCUCCUCUCAGCCUCAAGGCCUCCUUGCCCAAGCCCUCUGCAAAGCAGUUACCUGCAAGUCUCUCUGUGUUCCUGCUUCCCAGCUCCCUGCUGGGUUCCAGCAUUUUCCAACAUCCAGUUCUCCUGUCUCCAGUACACACAGACUGUUCCAUUGUCGGUCCUCAUGUCCAGAGCAGUCACCUUGCUCCUUAAACUCGCACACUGGCUUCCCUUCCUCGCUUUAUAAUUUGAAAAGAGAUUUCACAAGAGGCAGGCUCUGCGAAAAUCAUCUUUAAUAAUUGAUCAAGCAUGAUGUGAGCCAAUCACAGCUUUCCUGUCGCUUGGGCUGAAUCCACAGUGCCACCACAGCCACACUUUGGGAGCUGGCAAGAGGAUGGAGCCACAUCACAUCUCCCUCUUCCAGUUACUCACGAGGGAGGAAACUAAAUCCUGCCUGUUCUGAUUUUGCUUGUGUCCCAGAAGUUUCAGUCUCUCGCCACAACCCUGGGAAAGGUCGGCAUGCACCUGCCCACCCUGCGGUACCUGAGGGGAUGACAAACGUGUAGCCCUGCUUGAGCUCGAUGCGCUGGCACUCUGACACUCUGUCCCCAAGAAAAAUGUCUCCCUGCUUCCCUGAGAGAAGCCAGUUUUCAUAGAGCUCCAGGUUCUGGGGCGUAGGAGGGAUCAGCCAGAAGAUCUGCAAAUAAAGACAACACAUGUAUAUAAGUCAUUGUAUAAUAGCCAACUGACUUCUUCCAAACCUGCCCUGCUUCCUCAGGAAUCCAGGUGUAUUUCACUGGGCAAGAGGUAGAACCUGCCUUUGCUAAAUUCUGAGCUACAGGAUACUUUCCUCCAUAUUAUCUUUUCCUAAUAACACUAAACUGAGCUCCGACUGCAUCAAUUCAAGUGUAAAACGAUACAAUUUGUCUGCAUUGCCGCGCUCUCCAGACAGCAGCACAAGGUGUUGUUGACCAGAGCAGAGCUGACAGCCGCAGCAGCAAAAACUUGAAUGUAAGAUCCCCUUCCAGACAGAAUUCUUCUAAACCAGGUUCCAGUCCAACAUGCAGCUAUGGUGACAGAUGCCUGGCACAGGGAAACCCCUGCACAAUUACAACUGCAAGCCACCCAUCAGGCAAGAAAUACCGCACCAGGACGAGGUCUGUAACCAAACUGCAACCUGAUGGAGCCUGGGGUUCAGUUUUUGUAUCUGGGGCUGAAAUCAGCUACAAGAAGUGACUCCAGACAAGCACCUCAAAUCCGACACUGUUUCAGAGCUAUUUCUCAUCCGAAACCAGAAGCCUAAGGCACUGGAAGAACUGUAUUAUUUUAUGAUUCUAUUAUUCUGUUCUUUAUCAUUUAGCCUUUUAUAAGGUUCUCUCAGCCCCAUCUCUACAGCACGGGUUUUCGGCCUGUGCCUGGUGGAGCUCUGAGGGCCUGAACUACUUCUAAGAACCACAGAUAAACAAGUUUAGGGUGGGAAGACUUCAGUUCACUGUCUGGGAGCUGCAUCUUCAAAGAUUGACAAGAAAAUAGACUAAAAGCUGCUCUCCUAAAGUGUCUGUAACUUGCCCAGCAGGGACUGUCCUACCUUUCCCCCUCGGUGGAUGUGGUACCACACAGAAGUGCCACCGAAGUCCACGUGGAAAUCUGUGUAGCAGCCCUUGACGCUCAUCAGACAGUAUCUGGUGGAAAACAAGAGGAUGAUAAAGUGAAAAUGAGCAGUGACCCACAUUUUAGAGCAGAUACAGCACAUUCAAAGGGAAGGGGCUGCCGAAAGCCAGGCCAGUGGCUCAGAUCAGUGCCAGGAGCCAACAACGCAGCACUGAGCACUUCAGCUGCAGCAGGGGGCGGUUUGCAGGAAAGCUCAUUUUGCAUUUAUAUCACAUCCCCACAAAAAUCUAGCCCAGGGAAGAGGAGAACUUCCAUCCUCACACAGCCAGCAGCUCUAGAAACCCCUGUGUCAUGGGUUUGGCCUAAGGGACAGGUAGCACCAAGGAGCUCAACCGACUCCAGGUAUCUCAAGGUGAUGAACACCAAGAGUUUUGCCAAAGCGCAGCGAGCUCUUAAAGGCCACACAACGACCCUUCCACACUGCAUGGAUUUAAAUAACUCACUGUGGUGUCCUUACGAGUGUCACCCGCUGUAAUAAACACGGAGACUGUUCCUCCCGCUCCCCCUUGGUGCAAAAUGCUUCUCGCUUGGGCAGUUCUCUCGCAAGAGAUGCUUUGCUGCCUGCCCUACUGGAACAGCUCAGGAGGUCACUUACUUCUGCACCUUUGGGUACUGCAUCUCCAGGAUAGCGUUCGUAGACUCUGUCUGACUCUCCUUCAGGUGUCUGGGCCACAUGUUAUCGACCCAGUCAAUCAAAUCCACCUAUGGCAGAAAGGUGGGAGACAUGAGUAGAGACGAAAGAGGCACAGUAACCCCCUCUUUUGCUACCCCCAGGCUGUUCUGGAAGCUCAAGUAUCUCUUGCCUGCCUGGUGAGGCCACAGCUCGCACGUGGCUGGGCACCUGUGAGAUGUUGGGUUGUACUGGGGCCACCAAAGCCACCGUGGUCCCAGGCACAGCCAGCCAGCUCAGCUCAGGGCACAGCCAUGACAGGAUCAAGGCAGGGAAGGAGGUCCUGGUGUGAGCCAAAUGGCUGUCACACCCCCUUUUUGGCCCCCACACAACCCAGCAACCUUCCUGAUGCCACUGGUGCAAUCCCACAUGUAAAGCACUGGGACCAGCUGUUCUGGUGCCAGAACCUCUGAAUUUACACAAGCAGCAAACAUCACAGUGAGAUCUCAAGCAUGGAACUGGGAUGCUGGUCUUCUGCUUAGGGGCCAGGCAGGAACUGGUGUGCACUGGGAUGGCAUAAAAACGUGCUGGGCAGCACCUGCAAGGGUGGGAUUCAACUCACUAAGCUUCAGGACAGCCAGAGCAGGCAGAGAUGUUCAGGCUCCCUCUACAGUUAACAGAGAGAACCUUCAUCUCCACCAAUUGCAGAGGGAGUUCAGGAUGUCCAUCCCAGCCAUUCCACUUUCUACACUACAGCAAGGACAACUCAUUUUCCCCCUGUCAGAUUCCUGCCCCGCUUCCAGCUCACCUCCAGUCUUCCAGUGUCCUCAUCUUGUCCCCUACACUCACUGUGGCUCACACAUGUUACAAGCAGCCCCUGUGCUCCCACAUCCAAGUGUCACCCGGCCUACAGAGAACCGCAAGGACAAAGGAAAGGAUGUUCCUGCAGAAGGAAGAGCCAUGCUCACCGUGGCAGGUCUCUGCACCAGGUUCUCCAGUUUAGUGUGGCUGAACUCCAGGCUGAUGACAUUGUACAGUUUCUCCCGCUCGGCCUCCGGUGUUUCGUAGUAGCGCGCCCACUGUGCCAUGGACAUCUCGAUAUCCCUCUGCGUGUUCACGUCCAUGACGUCCACCAUCCGCCGGCUCCCUGCCAGAACAGACAGACGUCACUGGAACCACCCCUGUGCACAAGGGACCACCCAGCAGAUACUCCAGGAGACAUGAGAUCUUUCCUCAAAGAACGCACCCGCAUAGGGUGACAUCUUGGCCUCUCCCGUAACUUCAAACUCUUCCAUACCCACAUUGAAACAGAAGCUGCUUCGGGUCAAACUAGACUCAGGCAGGUAAGAGUUGUGAUUUACUGGCUAAGGACAGCUCAGGUUCAACCAGCUGCACAAUGGGGGGGCUACAAAACCAGGCUUUGAUAAACCUGAUGACUCUCCCCAUCCCUCCAUAUCUGCCCAGGUCACAACAGGGGUGCGCCAAGGCCCCCGGACACUUACCGACACACAGCCGCACAUCGUUCACGCUGAAGUCCGGAUCCGGCAUCCUGCAGGACAAACACCUUGCUAAAAAAAUCACGAAGCGCUGCUGGUUGCAGACCCUUCCCCACCUGUAACCCCAGUAUUGGCAUCUGGAAGAAACCAUCAUGCUGCUUGUUGCCUCGUGGGUGCGGGUGAAGACCACGCGGUGACAUCUCUGAGGGUGUAGGUGUGGGGUGAAACGCUGGAGCCAAUUUCUGGCUAGGGCAGCAGAUUUGGGAAUGGGAUAUACCCUCUCCAGAGCACGAGCUGUUGUACAGUGGUUCUGGCAAAGGAGCGAGCAGGCCUUGAGCUAAGUGAUCCGAGCUCUCGUUUCAAAGACUGCUCAUGUGAGUUAUUCCAAUAUAAAGGGCAUCGCCAGACCGGUACGAGCAGUAGAUUUCACUGACACAGCAUAACCACUCUAACUGUUUGUACUGGCACACUUAUCUGUACAAACACUGCUGUCACAGGCAGAACGGGCAGGCAGCCACGCAGGCAGCUCUUGACCCAGAGAAAAACCCAAAAGCUCAGGAGAAAAUCCAGUUUCGCCCACACUGUAAAUCCUUAGUAUCAAAUCUCUGCCUCCCAAGUCACCCAGCAGUUAAAGCUGAGCCCGGCACACUUUGCUGGCUAGUCCACUGCGGUACAGCACAUCGUGCGCUGGACGAGAUGUUACCUGUCCCUUCCAGUUGAGGAUGUUAACAGAAGUGUUGCUGAUACUGGCUCUGACACUUUUCUAGGGCUACUUUAUUCCUCUAAACUUCUGUAUUAAUCAAAACCAAAAAACCACUGACCCUGCAAAACCAGCUGUGAUGUUUUAAUGCAGUAUUACUUGUCGUGAAACUAUAUCUGCCACCCCAUAGCGUAUUUAUACAAACAUCAUAAAUGGCACAAAACCGUGUCUCAGUACAGCUUUACACGCAAAGCUGUAAACCUUAAUUGACUUACUGUAGCAAGACAGGGAGAGACAUUCAGAAAUAACUAUGUUGGGUAAAUCGGCUUGGAAUUCUGGAAAAUGCCAGAAAUACUACAAAUUGCUUGACUUUUUGGCACUAGAUGCCUAUAUUACUAGGAGAGAAAUUCAGCCAGAUGUUGCGUCAGAGCAGCAGCGGGACUUUCCAGACAUUUGGUUGAAUUGUGAUAACCUACAGCCAACUCAGUCCUCUCAUUUUAUGUCCAGACUAAUAAGAACAGAAUAACCGAGGUGGAAGAUACUUCACACUGCACGUAAAGAACAGCACGGACAGGACACGAUCCCACCAACUUGGCAGAGCACAGAUGGAGCUACCAGGAUCAGAUCCCACACAGAGAGGCAAGAAAUGGGGCCAGUCCCCCCCACUCUGUGCCCCAACACUUACUUUAUCCCCAGGCCGUCAGAGCUCCUGAAGAUCAGAGGGUCUCUCAGGCCGCCGCGCUGGAUGUAUUCGACUGUGAAGUCUGGUGUGGGGAGACAAGAAGAAGGAAGGCAUUAGGGGAGACUCCUUCAAGGAAUUAUGGACCAAAUGAGGUUAGAAAGGACCUCUGGAAAUCUCUAGCCCAACCCUGCUCCCAGCAAAUGGAUUUCAGAUCGGGUUGUUCAGGGCCUCGUGCAGCUAAGACCUGAGCACCUUAUGUUUUAACAAAAGAAAGGCCUGUUCCUCGCUAUUUCUACAUCCCUUUGGAGAUUCUGGAACUCCUUUGCGGCAGCUCUGUGAGCAGCAUGGCCUGUGCUGCUGACAAGCCUCGGAUGGGCCCCCAGGGAGUGGGGAGUUUGCCCCAACAGGCUGCACCAACCAGGGGAAUAGCACAUGUUCUUUGGUCCUCCUGUCCUGGUUUUGCUAAAAACAAGUUUCUCUUUCAGUGAAUUUGCCUGUCAGCUAAAGGCUUCAUAUUAACUGCAUUUUCCUGAAGGACCAGACAUAUGUUUUGGUAAACCUAGCAAUGGAAUGCAAAGUUAUUGAUAAGCACGGAUGGACAUCUCUCGAGAGGGGCAACGAGAAACAAGCGACCAAGAAACUGACCAACUGUGUAUAACAUCCCAUUCACGUGAAUACUGCAUAUAAAAGUGUGAGAUCACGAGGAUCUCGUCCCUUUUCCCUUUUUCCUUAUGGCCGACAUUAGGAGAGGACCUUGCUAGUCGUCCCUGCAAACUGAAGCCUAGCGAGAGACUGAAUCCAGCUCCGGUUGGCUGCAGAGUCCAGUCCAGGACUUUGGUUGCCGGCUCUGCAGUUGCUGAGACUUUCAAGAUUGGUUUUGUAUAUUUUGUAUUAUUUUCUCUAUUCUUAUUAGUAGCAUUAGUAAAACAUCUUUAAUUUUUUCCAA